GUGUACAUGCGUUCAGGUUCUAAGCGCUGCUUGCAGAAAUAGUCAACUUGAGCGGGAGUUUGAAUUCCUCCUUUAUUUAGCUCAUUUUCAGACUUACUUCAAGUUUCUUCAAUCCCAAACGUUGUCAAGAGUUCUAUGGAGUUGCAGUUAGUCAGGGUCGUCAGACAGAUGACGUCACACUAAAAUAUUCCUAAAUCUGGUGAGAAAUAUGCAAGUUGCAGAUAUGGAGGAGAUGUGGCAGCUCUGGACCACACACAGUCAUGAUGUCAUGGCAAAACUGUGCACACAAAGUCAUGAUGUCAUCACAGAGCUGUGGAGGGUGUGGGACUUGGUACAGCAGUCAGUGGUUGCUAUGUUGGGUGUCCUAUUGCAGGUGGCUGAGGCACACUCUACAAGAGACAAUGUCUGGGGACUGAGGCUUGCUGUAGGUUUUGCAGUGGUACUGCUGAUGGCCAUGAUGUUUAGGAUAGUCUUUCAUGUUUCACAGGAGGGUGAGUUUUGAACAGCAGUAGAAAUGAAAACUUAAGGUAA